rnacentral:rRNA from 1 species
GAUGAACGCUGGCGGCGUGCCUAAUACAUGCAAGUCGAGCGAACAGACGAGGAGCUUGCUCCUCUGACGUUAGCGGCGGACGGGUGAGUAACACGUGGAUAACCUACCUAUAAGACUGGGAUAACUUCGGGAAACCGGAGCUAAUACCGGAUAAUAUAUUGAACCGCAUGGUUCAAUAGUGAAAGACGGUUUUGCUGUCACUUAUAGAUGGAUCCGCGCCGCAUUAGCUAGUUGGUAAGGUAACGGCUUACCAAGGCAACGAUGCGUAGCCGACCUGAGAGGGGGACGGGCCCCCCGGGAAUGGGAACCCGGUCCAGACUCCCACGGGAGGCAGCAGUAGGGAAUCUUCCGCAAGGGGCGAAAGCCGGACGGAGCAACGCCGGGGGGGGGAUGAAGGUCUUCGGAUCGUAAAACCUUUUUAUUAGGGAAAAAAAAAUUUGUAAGUAAAUAUGCACGUUUUGACGGUACCUAAUCAAAAAGCCCCGGCUAACUACGU